rnacentral:rRNA from 1 species
CGUAUUGAACGUUAUCGAUAAGAAGAGAGCGUUAGGCGAACAAUGUCUUAAAGUUGACCUCAAAUCAGGUAGGAGUACCCGCUGAACUUAAGCAUAUCAAUAAGCGGAGGAAAAGAAACCAACCGGGAUUGCCUUAGUAACGGCGAGUGAAGCGGCAAAAGCUCAAAUUUGAAAUCUGGUACCUUUGGUGCCCGAGUUGUAAUUUGGAGAGGGCAACUUUGGGACCGUUCCUUGUCUAUGUUCCUUGGAACAGGACGUCAUAGAGGGUGAGAAUCCCGUGUGGCGAGGAGUGCGGUUCUAUGUAAAGUGCCUUCGAAGAGUCGAGUUGUUUGGGAAUGCAGCUCUAAGUGGGUGGUAAAUUCCAUCUAAAGCUAAAUAUUGGCGAGAGACCGAUAGCGAACAAGUACAGUGAUGGAAAGAUGAAAAGAACUUUGAAAAGAGAGUGAAAAAGUACGUGAAAUUGUUGAAAGGGAAGGGCAUUUGAUCAGACAUGGUGUUUUGCGCCCUCUGCUCCUUGUGGGUGGGGGAAUCUCGCAGUUCACUGGGCCAGCAUCAGUUUUGGUGGCAGGAUAAAUCCUAGGAAUGUAACUUGCUUCGGGAAGUAUUAUAGCCUAUGGGAAUACUGCCAACUGGGACUGAGGACUGCGACGUAAGUCAAGGAUGCUGGCAUAAUGGUAAUCCGAUGGG